GAUGAACGCUGGCGGCGUGCCUAAUACAUGCAAGUCGAGCGAACAGAUAAGGAGCUUGCUCCUUUGACGUUAGCGGCGGACGGGUGAGUAACACGUGGGUAACCUACCUAUAAGACUGGAAUAACUCCGGGAAACCGGGGCUAAUGCCGGAUAACAUUUAGAACCGCAUGGUUCUAAAGUGAAAGAUGGUUUUACUAUCACUUAUAGAUGGACCCGCGCCGUAUUAGCUAGUUGGUAAGGUAACGGCUUACCAAGGCAACGAUACGUAGCCGACCUGAGAGGGGGAUCGGCCACACUGGAACUGAGACACGGUCCAGACUCCUACGGGAGGCAGCAGUAGGGAAUCUUCCGCAAUGGGCGAAAGCCUGACGGAGCAACGCCGCGUGAGUGAUGAAGGUCUUCGGAUCGUAAAACUCUGUUAUUAGGGAAGAACAAAUGUGUAAGUAACUGUGCACGUCUUGACGGUACCUAAUCAGAAAGCCACGGCUAACUACGUG
rnacentral:rRNA from 1 species